AUGCUGGACCAGCUAGGACUAGCUCAUGAGACUUGGAAUGAAAGAUACCCGGGGCUCCUGGUGUAUGUGGGACAAUCAAGAACAAAAGUCUUUGCGUAUCUGAAGGAUAGAAUUUGGCAACGUAUACAAUGGUGGAAGGAAAAGAUGCUAAGCAAGGCAAGGAAGGAGAUUCUGAUAAUGGCUUGCGCCCAGGCCAUACCCACUUUUGCCAUCAGGUCUCUGCGCCAUUUGGCGCACCGGCAGCUGGUCUUAUCUUUUGACGACCCAAAUAUCAGAUGGAGUCGAUUCAAGCACCACAUGCUGGAAAUACUGCACCAUAGUGACAUAAGGGGCAUCGCAUUCAGGAAACCUAAUGAUUCCAUAUACACCUUCCCAAUGCCUGAUUGCAUGUGCCAACAAGAUGGAAUAUGA
rnacentral:rRNA from 1 species